AGAGUUUGAUCCUGGCUCAGGACGAACGCUGGCGGCGUGCCUAAUACAUGCAAGUCGUACGCUUCUUUUUCCACCGGAGCUUGCUCCACCGGAAAAAGAAGAGUGGCGAACGGGUGAGUAACACGUGGGUAACCUGCCCAUCAGAAGGGGAUAACACUUGGAAACAGGUGCUAAUACCGUAUAACAAUCGAAACCGCAUGGUUUUGAUUUGAAAGGCGCUUUCGGGUGUCGCUGAUGGAUGGACCCGCGGUGCAUUAGCUAGUUGGUGAGGUAACGGCUCACCAAGGCUACGAUGCAUAGCCGACCUGAGAGGGUGAUCGGCCACAUUGGGACUGAGACACGGCCCAAACUCCUACGGGAGGCAGCAGUAGGGAAUCUUCGGCAAUGGACGAAAGUCUGACCGAGCAACGCCGCGUGAGUGAAGAAGGUUUUCGGAUCGUAAAACUCUGUUGUUAGAGAAGAACAAGGAUGAGAGUAACUGUUCAUCCCUUGACGGUAUCUAACCAGAAAGCCACGGCUAACUACGUGCCAGCAGCCGCGGUAAUACGUAGGUGGCAAGCGUUGUCCGGAUUUAUUGGGCGUAAAGCGAGCGCAGGCGGUUUCUUAAGUCUGAUGUGAAAGCCCCCGGCUCAACCGGGGAGGGUCAUUGGAAACUGGGAGACUUGAGUGCAGAAGAGGAGAGUGGAAUUCCAUGUGUAGCGGUGAAAUGCGUAGAUAUAUGGAGGAACACCAGUGGCGAAGGCGGCUCUCUGGUCUGUAACUGACGCUGAGGCUCGAAAGCGUGGGGAGCAAACAGGAUUAGAUACCCUGGUAGUCCACGCCGUAAACGAUGAGUGCUAAGUGUUGGAGGGUUUCCGCCCUUCAGUGCUGCAGCUAACGCAUUAAGCACUCCGCCUGGGGAGUACGACCGCAAGGUUGAAACUCAAAGGAAUUGACGGGGGCCCGCACAAGCGGUGGAGCAUGUGGUUUAAUUCGAAGCAACGCGAAGAACCUUACCAGGUCUUGACAUCCUUUGACCACUCUAGAGAUAGAGCUUCCCCUUCGGGGGCAAAGUGACAGGUGGUGCAUGGUUGUCGUCAGCUCGUGUCGUGAGAUGUUGGGUUAAGUCCCGCAACGAGCGCAACCCUUAUUGUUAGUUGCCAUCAUUCAGUUGGGCACUCUAGCAAGACUGCCGGUGACAAACCGGAGGAAGGUGGGGAUGACGUCAAAUCAUCAUGCCCCUUAUGACCUGGGCUACACACGUGCUACAAUGGGAAGUACAACGAGUCGCGAAGUCGCGAGGCUAAGCUAAUCUCUUAAAGCUUCUCUCAGUUCGGAUUGUAGGCUGCAACUCGCCUACAUGAAGCCGGAAUCGCUAGUAAUCGCGGAUCAGCACGCCGCGGUGAAUACGUUCCCGGGCCUUGUACACACCGCCCGUCACACCACGAGAGUUUGUAACACCCGAAGUCGGUGAGGUAACCUUUUGGAGCCAGCCGCCUAAGGUGGGAUAGAUGAUUGGGGUGAAGUCGUAACAAGGUAGCCGUA
rnacentral:rRNA from 1 species